UUAUUAUUUUUGUUUCGUUCAGAGUUCCGACUGUUCCGAGUUUUCAUCGUUUUCGACUGUUCCAAGUUAUUCGUAUUUCGUCUUAUUAGUUAUUACCCAUUUCUUCACGAUAUUUUCCAUCAAUAAUUCCCCGAAAACUUGGUGUUCACCACCGGACCGUUGUUGUCGACCAUCAAUUGGGCAGCUGUAUAUUAUUUCUAGCACUUCUGGUUUGAUUUUACGACAAUGGCGGACAGUGCCAGCGAGAGUGAUUCGUCGUCCAUCGACGGCGGACCCAUCAUGAUGCCUCCGUCGCCAAUCACAAGGGAACAAAUGCAAAAGCGAAUUGAUUCCCUGCAGCAGCAAAACCGUGUACUCAAGGUAGAGUUGGAAACCUACAAGUUGAAAAUGAAAGCAAUGGACGAGGAAUGCAAACGACUGCGUGAGACAUCGGUUUAUAUUCAAGUAAGAGCAGAACAAGAAGAAGAGUUUAUAAGUAAUACCCUACUAAAAAAAAUUCAAGCUUUAAAAAAAGAAAAGGAAACCUUGGCCCAUCAUUAUGAACAAGAAGAAGAAUGUUUGACUAAUGAUCUGUCACGAAAAUUAACUCAGUUACGACAAGAGAAGUGUAAAUUGGAACAGACUCUAGAACAGGAACAAGAAUGUUUAGUUAAUCGGCUUAUGCGUAAAAUUGAAAAGCUAGAAGCAGAAACUCUUACAAAGCAAACAACUUUAGAGCAAUUAAGGCGUGAAAAAGUUGACUUAGAAAAUACAUUGGAACAAGAACAGGAAGCUUUGGUAAAUAAACUAUGGAAACGCAUGGAUAAAUUAGAAGCGGAAAAAAGACAAUUACAAAUAAAACUGGAUCAGCCUGUUUCCGAUCCAGUAUUACCUAGAGAUCAAGUAGGACCAAACAAAGGUGAAAUGGCUACAAAUAUAAGUGCACAUUUACAACAUUUGCGUGGAGAAGUUACCAGGUUGCGACACCAACUUGAUGUUUCUAAAAAAGAAAAUUCCAAGAAAAUGGAAAAAAUGGCCAAAGAAGAGCGCCAAGUGCGUGAAGACAAUUUGCGAUUACAAAGAAAGUUACAACUUGAAGUGGAAAGACGUACAGCUUUAUGUCGUCAUUUAUCGGAAUCCGAGAGUAGUUUAGAAAUGGAAGAAGAACGUCAGUAUAACGAAAUGGCUUCAAAUCGAUGCAGAACGUCAUCAAGUCCACUCCCAUUUCCUCCAUCUCCUAGCCAAUCUAGGCCCCUUAGUCCUGGAUCCACUGUUGGAACACCAGAUGCGACUGAAGCGGGUAGUGUAUCUGCAUCGCCGGAACAGAAAAAAAGGAAGUGCGGUGGUGGAGGUGUAGACGAUAAGUGUUUUGUCCAUCCGUGAGUUGUGAGUGUUUCGUGGCGAAAUUGGUGUAUUGGGCUAUGCCAAUAUGAAUCGAUGUUAUGUUUGUGGCCAAACUGUACCAUCGAAUCUCGUCAUAGGAGCACCGUCAACACCUUUAUGUCCUACUACUCAAGUGAUUAAUCAAUCUCGAACGCUAUCGUUGGGACGUCCAGUCAGUGAACGUUUUGUUAAGCCAAUAGUGCCACUAUCAUCUAAUAUAGUUAAUAGUGGUGGUAUACCAACCGGAUCACAAAUUCCCUUGCCCAAUCCACCGUCACCGUCAACAUUACCUGCAACACUGAUGGAUUCAGUCAAGUACUAAUUUAAUCUAUUUAUGUACAUACAUAACAAGCAUAUAUUGUAUUAUCUAUGUAUGUAUAAUUUUACUUUUAUUGCUUUAAUAAGUUGGAAGGUUCAAUAUAUAAUACAUUUUUAAAAAAUAAUAUCAGUUCAUAAAUAUAAUUUAAGUUUGUAAUUUACACAAAAUCAUUUCAAAUUAAAAAAAAAAAAAGUCAAAACUAACAAUUAAAUAGUAAUGGAGAAAUCCCUAACAAUAAGUUGCCUAUGUGCAUACUAUGCCAUUGUAUUUUUUUAUUAUUAUUAAUUUAUUAUUUAUGAAAGUUUAUUAUCAUAUUUAACUAUAGUUUUUGGUUGGAUAAUAUUUGAUAAGGAAAUAGUAAAUCUAGUUCAAUGUGAUUUGCCUCUUAUUGUACCUAAGCAAAUAUUUUGUGUAAAGCAAUAGUUGAAUUUUUUUUUUCAUUUGUAAACUAUGUAAAAUUUAAGUUAUUUUUGAUGUAAUGUUUGGUAAAAGUAAAUUAUUACCUAUUUACAUUAAUAUUUGUUAAAUACUCUAUGUCUAUUUUCUUUCACAACUCUGAUAAAAUUUUUUUUUAUUAUGAACAUUAUGUUUAUAAUUUACUAAUAAGUCCUAUAAUUACAAUAUAAGUAUAUCUAAUUCUUCAAUUAAUGAUAAUUUCUUAUAAAUAUCUUAAUUGUGUUUCUUUUGUAUACUGCCUGUUCAUAUUUAAAUUACCAAUAUUAUUCAUCUAUUAGUUAUAUAAAUUAAAAGUAUUAACUGUGAAGUCAAUUGACUUAUAUGCCUAUAUAAGCUAUUAAAAUUAUAUUUUUGUUUA